UGUGGGAGCGGGCUUGCCCGCGAUGAGGCCAUUGGCUUCAAUUGAUGUUGCCUGACAGUACGCCAUCGCGGGCAAGCCCGCUCCCACA
rnacentral:misc_RNA from 1 species